UUUAGGUUUAUUAUUUAUUUUUUUUUAUUAUAGUUUAAUAUUUAAGUUAGUAUAUUUUUAUUAAUUUUUGAAAAAAUUUUAUUUAUUAUAGUUUAUUAUUAAAGUGAUUGAAUUAUAUUUAUUAAGGGGUAAGAAAAAUAUUUAAUUUGUACCUUGUGUAUCAGGGUUUAUUUAAAAAAUAUUAUUUAAUUGAUUUUCUUGAAUUAAAAUGAUUUAAUUAAUUAUUAAUUUGAGUGUUUUAUAACUCUUUAUAAUAAUUAAUUUGUAAUGAAAUGUUAGUCGUAUUUUAAUAUAUCUAGUUUUAAAAGAAAAAAAUAUAAUUUUUUUAUUACUAAUAAAUUUUUAAUUUUAAAAUUUUUUAUUUAGUAGUAUUUCAUUUUUUAGGGGAUUAGCUUUAAAGAUUAUUGUUAUAAUUUUAUUUUAUUUAUUAAAAUUAAUAUAAUUAAUAAUUUUAAUUUUUAGUAGUUUUUUAUAAUAAUUUUUAAUUUUAAUAGAAUUUAUAUUUAUUUAAUUUAUUUAUUUUAAUUAUUAAUAUAAUUUUUUUAUUAAUUAAAUAAUAAUAUAAUUAGUAAAAUAUUUUGUAUAGAUUUUAUUUAUUUUUGUUAAAUAUAAGGAAUUAGGCAAAUUUAUUAAUUUUUGUCUGUUUAUUAAAAACAUAGUUUUAAGUUUAUGAUUUAAAAUAGAACCUGCCCAAUGAUUUUAUUUAAUGGCUGCGGUAUUUUGACUGUACAAAGGUAGCGUGAUAAUUAGUUUUUUAAUUGAAAGCUGGUAUGAAUGGUUGGACAAGAAAUUAGCUGUCUUUAUUUAUAUUUUAAACUUUAUUUUUGAAUUAAAAAGUUCAAAUAAGUUUAAGGGACGAGAAGACCCUAUAGAGUUUUAUAUUUAUGAUAAUUUAAUUUUCAGUUUAUGAUUUAUUUUAAAUUAUUUGAUUGGGGUGAUUUAAAGAUUUAUAAAACUCUUUAUAUAAAAUUUCAAUGAUUGUUGAGUGGUUUGAUUUAAUUUUUAAUUGUAAGAAUAAAUUACCUUAGGGAUAACAGCGUAAUUCUUUAGUAAGUUCAUAUUUGUAUAAGAGUUUGCGACCUCGAUGUUGGAUUAAAAUUAAUUGUUAGUGUAGAAGCUUAAUAAUUAAGUCUGUUCGACUUUUAAAAUUUUACAUGAUCUGAGUUUAAACCGGUGUGAGCCAGGUUGGUUUCUAUCUUUAAAUUAUUUAAAUUUUCUAGUACGAAAGGACCGUGAAUUUUUUAUAGUAAUUUUAUAUUGAAUUAAUAUAAU
rnacentral:rRNA from 1 species